rnacentral:rRNA from 1 species
UACAGGGGGUGCAAACGUUGCUCGGAAUCAUUGGGCGUAAAGCGCACGUAGGCGGUCUGUUAUGUCGGAUGUGAAAGCCCUCGGCUCAACUGAGGAAGUGCAUCCGAAACUGGCAGGCUAGAGUACUAAAGAGGGUCGCGGAAUUCCCGGUGUAGAGGUGAAAUUCGUAGAUAUCGGGAGGAACACCGUGGCGAAGGCGGCGACCUGGGGUAGAUACUGACGCUGAGGUGCGAAAAGCGUGGGGGAGCAAAACAGGG